CCUGGGGCCCCGAGACCCCGGAACCUCGCCCCUCCCCCGCGACCCCGCAACCCCCAGCACCCCGUGACUUCAGCACCUCAAGGCCCCAGGUCCUCCCCGAUGGAUUCCGGGUGCCCGGUGCCCUUAGGAGGCGGCCUGCCUCCGGCCGCAGCGCCGUUGUCCCACUUGUAGGCGGUUACCUGACCACAGACGACACCGCCUUCCGCGGGUCCGCUGCUCACUAGGACCUGAAACGUGAAACAAACUGCGGCGUGUGGCAGUUUGCAGGGAACAGCCGAACGCCUCAGCAGUGUUUUCUUCUGAGGCUCCCCUCUGUGUGGCACCGAUCUAGGCUCUCAUGGUGCUUUAGAAAGUCUUGCUCGAUGCCCACCACAGCCCCGGGCUGCGGGCAGCAGGCCUAGAGAGGAUGUUUCAGGUUCUGGAGAACAAGGGAGCAGGGGAGGGGGGGCCUUACCCCCCCCCCCCCCCCCCCCCCCCGGAGCUUACAGUCAGCAGGUGGUCAAUGAUCGACUAUGCAAAUGCACAGCUGCCUAGCAGUGGUAAGUGCUAUGGAGGGAAGAUAAAGCUGAGUGAAAGCAGGGCGCUGUGGGAAGUCGGGUAUCUGGGCAGCGUGGUGGGGCAGGGGGGCCUCUGAGGGAUGAGCAGUAAGGACACACCUGAUGCCGGAGAGGGGGCGGAGGGAGGACCAGCCAGGCACUCACCUGCCAGAAUCCCGGACGUGGAGGUCUGAGAUGCCGCGCCGGCACCCAGGAGGUGCUGAGGGCGGCUGGUGCCGGGGACCUGGAGACGGGGCCGCAGAGUGACGAGGAAGGGAGCUGGCGGAGGGAGUCUGUCCUGGGCGGUCUUUACGGGAGGCCUGCUCCAUGCCCAGCACCGCAGGUCAAUGAUCUCCUCGAACCGGGGGACAGCUCGAGUGGUUUUAUUACCACCAUUUGAAGGAUGGGUGGACUGAAACUGGGGAAGGCACCCAAGGUCACACACCUGUCAGUGGAGAGGCGCUCGGAACCGGGGGGGGGGGUCCCCGGGGCAGCCACACUGUGCGCUGCCUGCAGAGGAAUGGCCAGAGAAGUAGCGUCUGGGAGAAGGCGGGGCCGUGGAGGUCAAGUCCUGAGAGCCGCUGAGCCUGCGCGCGGGGCAGGCACGGACUCGGCCCAGCUGGCACAGGUCGGGGCCAGUCGGGCGAGAAGCACCUGGCUGUUCUGUUCGAUCCCGUAGGCACGGGGAGUCGCAGCUGCUGCCGGGAGUGGGGAAUGGGCAGCAGGUGGGGCGGGGGGGGGGGUGGUCCCAGAGCCUGGAGGGGAGGAGGCACCUGCGGGCGGCUGGCCCCGGGCCGGGCUGCAAAAUCUAACUGCAAUCCACUGCCCUGCCGUUGCUGGAGCGUUUGCUGCAGGAAGCGGCCAGGAGCAGGAAGCACCCUCCCGCCUUGCGGGAGCACCCGUGUUCCGUGUUGAAGGGAGAGGCUGGCGCCGCGGGGCCGGGUCUGCAGAGCCCCAGCCCUGGAAUCACGAACACACACGAAGUUGGGUGUGAAAAUACCGGCGGAUAGCUCACUAAUGACCCGUGGUUUUGGUGCGAGUUUACUGGCUCAUUGGGCCACCGCAUAGACAUCAGGCCCAAAGGUUAAUGGCAUUGGGGAGCCUGGGUGGUUCGGGCAGUUAAAUGUCUGACUUCGGCUCAGGUCGUGAUCUCGUGGUCCAUGGUUCAAGUCCCCACGUCGGGCUCUGUGCUGACAGCUCGGAGCCUGGAGCCCGCUUCCGAUUCUGUCUCCCUCUCUCUCUGCCCCUCCCCUGCUCGCACUUUCUCUGUCUCUCAAAACAUGAAUAAACGUGAAAAAAAUUUAAAAUUCAAAGGUUAACGGCAUUUAGACCUACAAAAUUGGAGACCUAGAAAGGAGUUCAAGUACUAAUUUCAUAGCUUAAAAAAGUGUUUAUUGAGGUAAAACAUGAGGAACACCAAUUCUGAGUGAACUCAACGAGCUCUCUCAUUUCUAUUAUUCAGUGGCACGAAAGUAAACGUUCAGCUAGCUCGUUGGGGGGCACAAGGGCUGGCUCGUAGCGUUUGAUAAUUUCCGUGGUGUAAAUACUCCCCAAACGGUGGAAUUCCAAGCUGCCAACGCGACGUCACUGGGCAGCCGGGGGAGCCAGUUACGGUCGGACGGUCCACCCGCUGUACAGACGCCAUGGGUGGGGGUGGCCCAGGUAGCAGCGAGUGACGAGUCGAGUACUCACUACCUUUGUUUCCAAUGUAAUUUAGAGAAUUAAAAUUUUUACCGAUGGCUUUAGCAACGGGCUCACAAAAUUCCUGGAGGUGUGGCAGGCGGCUCUCACGAGCGGACCCCGCACACCAAUGUGAGGCCACACGGCCGCCGCCCCACUGGCUCGCGGUGCCUCGCUUUUGUCACUGUGCCUUAGUGCUGCCUGCUCACGCUUCCUACACGUGCCAGCCGACGGCGUUUAGCCUUUGCCGUGGCUCAGCCCGACGCCCCGAGAGGCGUCCGUGUGGCGGUCUCGAGCCGUGUUGUGUUCGGCGUGUGACUGCAGGGCGGGUCGCCGCUCGCCAUUCUACCGUCGGCGAAGAAUGACUCGGUUGGUUUCCGGAUUCUGGCAGUUGUGCACGCAGCCGGGACGCAGUCUGUCGUCUGCGGGGGGUGCGCCCGCUGGCUUUGGCACGCACCCCGCUUCACGAAGCGGCUUCGCCUGCACCGAGAGCUUGGCCGUGUGCCGGGGCCAUUCCCUCCCUCUCCGCGCACACACACCCCAAGCACCUUCCCAAGGGUGAUAUUUGACUGCUUCUUACAACAACGUUUCCAUUUGUGUAAACUGGCAUCUUAGGGUCUUACUAGUGAGAAAUGGUCGUCUUGAUCAAAACUGAAACUUGGGGCGCCUGGGUGGAUCAGUCGGUUAAGCGUCUGACUAUUGAUUUUGACUCAGGUCACGAUCUCAUAGUUUGGGAGUUCGAGCCCCACAUGGGGCUCUGCACGGACGGUGCAGUGCCUGCUUAGGAUUUACUCUCUCUCCCCCUCUCCCCUUCUAUUUCCCCAAAUAAAUCAAUUUUAAAAAACUUAAAGAAAAACAAACUGAGACUUAAAAAGCUACACGUUUCAGAAGGACGCUAACUAGCCAGCGGAGCUCACAGAGCUUAUUCUCACUCUUGCUCGUCAUUCGGCUAAAAUCCUGAAAUGUCCCGACUCUGUUAAGGUUGAGCUCAGGCUUACAGUUAGCAUCUUGCGGUGGCGGUGGGGUAAGGUGAAGGAAAGCAGGGUUCAAGCUUCAGUUACAACCGCAGGCAACCGCAAAACCCGAGAGAGGCCAGUUGUUUGGCUCCACGAGGGGACGGGGUCACGUGCCCAAACGCUGGAGAACCUUGACCAAAGAUGCGUCUGUGACAAAUGCACGUUUCUAUGAAACCCCAAGUCAGGACUGGCACCCUUCUUACGACGGCUGAAAUCGUAAACCCGGCCGGGCUCUGCAAAGGCGGGGGGGGGCUCUCACCGCAGCUGACGUGCACGAUGGCCUUUAAUGCACAGAACACUGUGAGGCAGGGGCCCCCAUUUUGCAGAUGAAGAAACAGGGCUUCUUGGAGGCGGAAGCCCCCCCCUGCUGAACUGUGAACCCAAGUCUGUCCAGGCUCCGCCCCUGGUGGGUGCGAGGGCCCACCCGCGAGGUGGCUACGGGCGUCGGUGGGCUUCCCCAGCUUCGCGGUCGGUGCCUGGGAGCCGGUGGAGGCUCCGCCGGCCCCUCUCCGUCCAGGGGCAGAUGUGACUCGUCCUCCCGUCCCUGGAGCUGCAAACACGCACACUCAGGGAACUCCCCGGGGCCCAGGCCAGGCCAGGAAAUCACAGGCACCGGUCCAUUGGCUUCUUCCCGGGAAAGGGCUACCGGGCACAGUGGGAGAAAACACACCUUCCCCAGGAACGGCCCCCUGGGGUCAGGCACCCCCCCCCCCCUCCGCCCCGUGCCAGGGAGCAGACAGUGGCUGGGUGUCCACCCGUCUGUCCCUCAGCAGUCACUCACAAGGACCACACAGAGCCCCGGGUCACUUCUGUAAUACAUAAUUUUAUUUCUGGUUAUAGAAACAAAUGCUAAGAGGAGAACCAGAACUUCCCCAUCCACAUACAACAAUUUAAUAGAUAAAA